UGGUGUUCCAGGAAGAACCAUGGAGAUGAAGGUAGAGCAGGAUAGAAAAAAAAGUUCUUGUUGGUCCGGGCAUAUUCGGUCACUGAUGGACCUCUGAAUCAUUAUUUUUUUAUAGGACAUUGAAGCCUUGUUUGAGUCCUAUGGCAUACAGGUGUGGUGUCACACACACACACACACACACACACACACACACACACUCCAUAUCACACACUCCAUGUCACUAACACUCAGCUUCCAUUUGCAGCUCUCACUGCUCAGAGCUCUGAUUGACAGACUCCUACAGGACGGCAUGGAGGAGCUUCUGCAUGACUUCUCAUCCAGGAAGAGGGUAAAGGUCAAAGAGCAUGAGACCAGCUCCAACAUCAUCACAGAGUACACGAACGCGGUGAACUAUGAAUUCUCCAGCGAACCGCUGAGUGAGGUGGAUGUGGGUGAGGACGCAGAUGAAGAGGGACCACUGCAGGAACCCAGCGACACUGUGUAUCUCCACAACAUUACGUACACUGUGAGUUCAAACCAGACUGAAGACAACAGGAAAAUCCCUACAGCAACGUUCAUCACUGCAGGAAACGUGGAGCAUAUGGACAGAAAUGCAGCUGUAGAUGGUCAGGAUCAGACAGGAGCCCUGGAGCUUCAGUUCUCCGCUGAGGAGGCGGACCCUGGCCAGGCCGAGCCAGCUGUGGCCACCAACCUACCUAUUCUGGGUGAGAUACCGAAGAAGACCUCUGGAGAGAAGAAGCGAGGGAAGGAGCGAGGAAAGACUGAUGUUGAGGAAGAGGAUGGUGAAGAGGCGGUGUCGUAUGAUGAUGAAGAGUACAGUUAUGAGUAUGAGGUUGAGUACAGUACAGCAGGGCAGCAUUACACGCAGGAGAAUGAGGGAGAGGAGAGGACACGUUCACACGAAGAAGAAGAAGACCACUUGCAGGAUGGAGCCCCACCCAACCAGACAGACACUGCAGCAGAGGAGAAAUCAGACAAUGAACCUCAGGAGACUCCACCCAGCCCUGGUGUAGCCCCGCCCAGGAGCAGAAUGAAGAGGAGCGCCCCCUGGCGGGAUGUCACGGGUUCUAUGCCAGGAAUGCCGGGCGGGAAGAAUCGCUACAAGGCGGGACACAAACACAAAUCCCGCUCUGGUGCUAAAGGGAGGAAGAAGCAGAAUGAAAAGAAACCAGCCAAUCACAACCCAGAUCCUGAGCUGGACACCAGAGAGAUAGACAGAUCACCAGAAGACAGGCAGGAAGACACAGCGACAGGUUAUAGUGAUGAGGUGGGAGACAGUGAGCGAGGAGGAGAGGAGGAAGUCGACCCAGAGACUGAAACAGAUUACAACUCCGGAACUGAGCCUGAUCCUGAAGACGACCUGAACCCGGACAAGGAGACAGAGACAGACAGAGAGGGAGGACAGUCAGGGCUGGACUAUUAUAGUCACACAGACAGGUUGGAGGGGG
ensembl:lncRNA